rnacentral:rRNA from 1 species
UACGGAGGGUGCAAGCGUUAUCCGGAUUUACUGGGUUUAAAGGGUGCGCAGGCGGAUAUGUAAGUCAGUGGUGAAAUCUCUAGGCUUAACCUGGAAAUUGCCGUUGAUACUAUAUAUCUUGAAUGCUGUGGAGGUAAGCGGGAUAUGUCAUGUAGCGGUGAAAUGCUUAGAUAUGACAUAGAACACCUAUUGCGAAGGCAGCUUACUACGCAGAUAUUGACGCUCAUGCACGAAAGCGUGGGGAUCAAACAGG